rnacentral:lncRNA from 1 species
AGAGAGAGGGAGGGAGGAAGGCGGAGGGAUAUUCGGCCGGACCUCUCCGCGGCGGCACCGCGCUCCAUGUCGAUUGGUUGCCGCCGUGGCCACGCGGAAUCCCCAAUUGGCCAGGCGGUCAGCGUUGAAGGGCCGCCCUGCGCCCAUUUGCCCGCUGGUUUCAAGGCCCGGGGUUGGCUGGGCGGGCAGCAGAAUGGGGCGCGCGGAUUGGCCGAGAGGAGGGACAUUGGGGUGAGGCCGGCUAGAGCCGGCCACUGAUUGGAUUGGCCUGCUAAAGGCCUUGAGCUCGGGCCGGCUGGCCGCUGGGAGGAGGAUGGACCGAAGGUAAGACUCCGGACCCGCGUGAUUGGCUGGGAUACUAGACGUUGAUAGGAUAAGGCACCCGACAAAACUGGGGAGAGGAGUUAGGGGUCGGGGCCGCGGAAAGGCGGGAGUCGACCCACCGCUUUAGAAGCCUGGCGCGGGGCACGACGGGACGCCCCCGGAAAGAGGCGGAGCCGUGUCCAGGCUGCGGUUGAGAAAGCGGCGUCACUCGGAGGGGCGUGUUGAGGGUUUCGCGGGCUCGAGCGGGGGAGGGGGGACCGUUAAAGCCCUGCACCGCGCCCACAGGAAGCUGCUUUAAUGGCUAGGCCUACUUGGUACCAGGCUCUCUGCUGGGAAGGACCUUGAAGACCGUGCGGUUCAACUUGCAAUUUGCUGAUGUGGAAACUGAAGCCCAGAGAGGGUAUGCAACCUGUCCAAGGUUACUCAGCCGAUUAGUCGCCUGAUUGGGACUGGAUUCGAGCACGAACUGUCCUUAUCCUUACAGGCCACUCCAAGGAGCGUUCUCCACACUAGCACCCAUGUGUACCGUUGGACUGAUCGAGGCAGCUGUAUCUCUUCGUCCUUCAGAAGUGCUCUCCGUCCUAGGCCUGUGCCUGCUUGGCGUUCCCUCCUCAUCUCUCCCAGUCCUCAAGUCACGCACAAAAAGGGAUUCAAUCCUGGGGACGAAGAAGGAAGAAGAACAAAGGCAAGAAUAUAGAGGUAAAAGCUUCCUGGAUCCUGAGCCGGGGCCUCCGAGAGAUGGUGGGACGUAGAGCAGACUGUCUCCAGGAAGUGGAGCCUUGCCCUUGCCCUCUCCCGUGCUGACCAGAGAGCGAGCCUGGAGACAGACCACGCACCCCCAGCUGCUUUCUCCUUUCAUUUUCAGUCCUCCAUUAUUUCCUUCCUGUUUUUGUUAUAACUAUUUCUGUAUGACUGUGCUGGGACUUUCUCUAGUUGCAGUGAGCAGAGGCUACUCCUCAUUGCGGUGCACGGGCUUCUCAUGGUGGUAGCUUCCUUUGUUGCAGAGUAUGGGCUCUGGGUGAUGGGUUUCAGUAGUUGCGGUUCCCAGGCUCCAGAGCACGGGCUCAAUAGUUGUGGCGCACAGGCUUAGUUGCCCGGCAGCCUGUGGGAUCUUCCCAGGCCAGGGGUCUCCUGCAUUGGCAGGCAGUUCUUUACCGCUGAGCCACUAGGGGAGACUCCUUUGUUCUUUUCCUAGUUAUCAAAAUAAUACAUGCUUCUCAAUGGAGAAAUUUGAAAAGGCAUGAAGAGUUAAGCAGAAAUCACCUGUAAUCCCAAAUUAUAAUACCAGUGAAAUAUUGGCGUAUUUCUCAACAUAGUUCAGUUUUAAAUGAAAAUCAAAGUAUUACUAUGUAACAUUUUUGUAAACCCUGCUCCUCCCCCCAAAAAAGUACUUCUGAGAAUUUUUAAUUGCUUGAUAUCAUUGUCAAAUUGUGUUAAAAAGUAGUAUAUGAACUAAACAUAUUUGAACUGACUCGAAUUGGGUUUUCAUGCUUGGAAUGCAGAUGGAGAGGUAAGUAAAGGCUUUUAAUGUUGACUUAAGCUUUUUACAAAUGUACCAAUAAAAUAAGGUAAAAAUUGAAAAUCA